UGUGAACUUGCCAUCAAACUGUCGGCUGGUAAGAGAUGUUGCCAAACCCUGCUGUAAAAUCCUGACCUGUAGCCCCACACCAUCUCCCCUGACGAAAAAGUGACCAGGACUUCUGCCUAUGACUACAGUACCAACACAGAGACCAGAAAAAAUGACAAUUUCCCCAACACCGCCUGGUUCCACUGUUGGUAUGCAGUAAGGGUUUCAACACAUUCAGGAUCCACAUUCUUCCCACCAUCACUGUCAACUGUAUCAUCAACACAAGAAUUAUUUUAGGUUUAGACUAGACUGGAGGCGGAGAACAGUUUUUAUGAUGUAGUUCAAGGGGACUUAUUUUAGCUAAAGGACUAUGGAGUGUCCCCAGAAGAUAAAAGGUAGACAAAAGGCAGAAGUCCUAAUACAGCAAUCAUAAUGACGAAUGCAGAGAAACAUUGCAGAGACUUUUAGGUAUAAACAAUCCUAUAAUACUGAAAUUUACAACUUGUGAUAUGUAACCAUCUCUUACUAUGUGUGUAAGUACACAGAAAGAUAUAAAGUGCAAAGUAUGCAAAAAUGAGGUGUGGCUGAAGAACGAGUGCAGAUUUCCCGAUGCAAAGAUAAUAACCUUUUUAUUACAUACACAUCUACACGUAUAAAUAUAAUGUAAAUAUCAUAUUAAAUUUGUUCAGUAGCCUGAAUAGGAAUGACAAUACUGAACUAAAUAGAAAAAAAUAGUGCAAGAAUAAACACUGAAUUACGUCACACACCUGAUAUGAAAUUCAGGCGUUAGUGUAUGGAAAAAUAUUGACAUUUCAGGUACCAGUUUAACGUAACGGGGAAUAGAAACGUGUAUGUAAUAACAAUAAUAUAUUUAGUUACAAACAUCUGUUAAUAAUACAGUGGCUAAUUCUGUAAAUAUGUGGGAAAAAGGUAGCAAAAAUUGUCUACCUGAAAUUAUUUCUGCCUAAGUACUACACUAACAGUUCGAGUCUUGACAUUUAAAUGCUUGUGUUUAAACUAAUUUUUAUUUAUUUUUUUUAAAAAAAUUAAGAAACAAGAAUAUACAUGUAUAUUAAAAAAUAAAUAUCAUUUUACUUGAAACUUUCAACAUUUUACAGGAGCAGUACCAGUCCUGCUAUUAUGUGAAAAUGCAGAGAAGUGAUGACUAGAGAGUAAACUUUAUAAAGUAAGUUAAGGCGUAAAAAGAAAUUGUUUGUUUCCGGUAUCCCGACCUACUCUAAAUUUUUGGCUUGACCCUUAAUGUUUUUAUGGCCUUGGAGAAUAUUUUUUUCAACUUUGUCACAAAAAGUUGCAAAACUGCAGUUUUUAUGCUUUAAACAUGGCCAGUGAUGUUAGAAAUCAACUUACUGAUGCUCUAAGGCAUAACCCCCUUACUUGUAUGCAUUUUUUGACACAAAAAUAAUAAUUUCCGAAAAGUAGCCUCAAUAAAAAAAUAAUUCCAAAAAAAAAUUUCUGACCUACCUACCCCAAUUUUUUUUUAGCAUGUUACCGGAAACAAAGAAAUUUUUUUUAGGCCUAAGGUAAUGUAAUGGUAAAAGUUAACAAAUUUGAAAUUACAAUGUUCUUAAGUUUUAUCUAAUCUAAUACAGUCUUUUUAGUUAUUACAAUAUACAUCUGUUUGACUUUGGAUGGUGGUUUCUGGAAUCCUUUUCAUUGUAUUUCUUUUUCAUUUUCAUUACAUUUCAGAUGUUAAAUUUCUUCUUCAGUUUGAUUGCAUCUUCAUUUUCAUUAAUUAAUACAGCAAUCUUUAUCUUUCUUUUCUUACACAAGCUUCUCCAAAAUUGGGAGGGCAUAAAAUUUUUUUUCAAACAGCAACUCCCUUAAUUAUGCCCCCCUUCGAAGAAGGAGGGGUAUAUUGUUUUG